GCGAGGCGGGCGGGGGGCGACGCCGCGGCCUCCCGCUGCUUCCGCCGGGCGGGGAGAGGGAAGGGGGGCGGGGGGCGACACCGCCCCGCGCCCUCGCAGCCGGCUCUAACGGCCCUGCCCCGGGACGCUGCCCCGCCGUGCGGCUCGGCCCCGGCGCCUGACCGCAGAGGUACCUGCGUAUCCCCAGUCGCGACGUAGAGCCAAUCUGGAAAGCUGCAGUGUCACCUAGCUUCCUUUGUGCCAGAAAGCUUUGGAGGACAAGGAGAAGUUACAGCCCUCGCCUGUUUACCACAUCUCUUUACCAGAGGCUCCAAACCCAAACAGGAGAUAAAGAGAGAAGAUGCACAUUUGAACAUCAGCCACUACUCUCUAGCAAGGUCAUUCAAACCUCCAAUGAAAGUCCCAGCCCUCUCAGCUGACUGACUUCUCUCUACCCUCAACAUUGGAACAGCCAAUCUCAUCUCACCUGAAGUGAUGCACUCCACGUUUAUCAUCAGGGAACCAGAUCUCAACUGCAGCUACCUACCAUGUUGCAACGACUUGAAUAUCAUCUUCUGUCUACACAACGGCUUAAGGCAAAGUGGAAAAUAUAAUAUCGCUCUUCUCUGAUUCUUACCAUAAGGGAGGAGAAAAAAAAAAUCCUAGUCCUGAGAAAUUCCUAGCCCCAUAAAUUCAAGAUUUUAUGUGCUCCAGAUUCUACUUCUACAGAAUAAAGUAUCAUUGCAGUAUCUCAAUGUAUUUCCUUCUUAUGAAAAUAAAUAAUAGCAUCAAUGUUCUGAAUGAAUGGAAGCCCUUUGUACAAUAAAGGU